rnacentral:lncRNA from 1 species
UUGUGCUUUAUGACCAACGCUUCUCCUUUCUUCUUCUCUAUUCUCUAUUUGUUGCAGUAGGUGUUACAAAGAAGGACAUGGCCAAACAUGAGAUAUAUUUUUCCUUCUAUUUCCUGUUCGGUUCUUCUCUUCCUUUUAGACAAGAACUCGAAAAAAUUGAACUUUCAUUUUGUUCUCGUUGUUCUUGGUAGACUUAUUUCCUAUGGUGGGUUGGGAGUUUGAUUGAAAAAUUUCCUUCUGUCUGGGGUUUUAAAUUUCUUCUUGGUAGAUUUAAAAUUUACUUUUGUGGGUUGAGAGUUUUGAUUGAAAUUCCUACAUCUCUCAAGGUUUUUAAGUUUCUUCUUGGUAGAUUUACUAUUUAUUUUUGUUGAUUGAGUGUUUAAUUGAAAGUCCUAUAUCUCUCAAGGUUUUUAAGUUUCUUGUUGGUAGAUUUAUUUAGUUUUGUCGGUGGGAGUUUGAUUGAAAAUAUGAAGAUUUGUGACUCAUUAGAAGGGUGAAGCCAACAUUACUAAUGGUGAUGGUGCAAACAAUAUUUGCUGGAAUCAAUAUUGUUUAUAAAAUGACUGCAAAAGAUGGAACAAAGUUGUCUUUUUUGGGGCUAUGGAUUCAUGUUUGGCCUGGUUUUUUGGUUUCGGUUGCCCUCUUGGUUAAAAGGUUCUAAUGCAUAUAUAUUUCAAUUUUUAAAUUUACAAGAAAGAAUAUUUAAUUCAAUGGUAAUUGUCUUGGAGUUUUUCCCCCAUUCACAUCUAGGAUUUAUGAAUCUCACAAAAAUUUUGAAAAUCUUAUAGCUAAAAUGUACAC